GUUUCUCCCAGCCUGUCUUCGUGGCAGAGGUGCUCCAGCCCUCAUAACAUCUUCAUGGCUGACACUGCUGUGUCCCUCCCAGAAAACCACAGCAGGUGCUCUGAACGUGCAGCAUUCCCAGCACUGCACUUGCCAGCCAGAUUUUCAAAAGAGCCCAGCCUGCUGACAUAAAUGGGGUUGCUGAUGUGCCCAAGGAGAAGGAAGCGCUGGAGAACACAUCCCUCCCUGGGUCCAAGGCUCUCCCAUCUUAUCUCUCCCUUCCAUAUGUUUCCCCUGUAAUGAG
rnacentral:lncRNA from 12 species